GACGAACGCUGGCGGCGUGCUUAACACAUGCAAGUCGAACGGAAAGGCCCUGCUUUUGUGGGGUGCUCGAGUGGCGAACAGGUGAGUAACACGUGAGUAACCUGCCCUUGACUUUGGGAUAACUUCAGGAAACUGGGGCUAAUACCGGAUAGGAGCUCCUGCUGCAUGGUGGGGUUGGAAAGUUUCGGCGGUUGGGGAUGGACUCGCGGCUUAUCAGCUUGUUGGUGGGGUAGUGGCUUACCAAGGCUUUGACGGGUAGCCGGCCUGAGAGGGUGACCGGCCACAUUGGGACUGAGAUACGGCCCAGACUCCUACGGGAGGCAGCAGUGGGGAAUAUUGCACAAUGGGCGGAAGCCUGAUGCAGCAACGCCGCGUGCGGGAUGACGGCCUUCGGGUUGUAAACCGCUUUCGCCUGUGACGAAGCGUGAGUGACGGUAAUGGGUAAAGAAGCACCGGCUAACUACGUGCCAGCAGCCGCGGUGAUACGUAGGGUGCGAGCGUUGUCCGGAUUUAUUGGGCGUAAAGGGCUCGUAGGUGGUUGAUCGCGUCGGAAGUGUAAUCUUGGGGCUUAACCCUGAGCGUGCUUUCGAUACGGGUUGACUUGAGGAAGGUAGGGGAGAAUGGAAUUCCUGGUGGAGCGGUGGAAUGCGCAGAUAUCAGGAGGAACACCAGUGGCGAAGGCGGUUCUCUGGGCCUUUCCUGACGCUGAGGAGCGAAAGCGUGGGGAGCGAACAGGCUUAGAUACCCUGGUAGUCCACGCUGUAAACGGUGGGUACUAGGUGUGGGGUCCAUUCCACGGGUUCCGUGCCGUAGCUAACGCUUUAAGUACCCCGCCUGGGGAGUACGGCCGCAAGGCUAAAACUCAAAGGAAUUGACGGGGCCCCGCACAAGCGGCGGAGCAUGCGGAUUAAUUCGAUGCAACGCGUAGAACCUUACCUGGGUUUGACAUGGAUCGGGAGUGCUCAGAGAUGGGUGUGCCUCUUUUGGGGUCGGUUCACAGGUGGUGCAUGGCUGUCGUCAGCUCGUGUCGUGAGAUGUUGGGUUAAGUCCCGCAACGAGCGCAACCCUUGUUCACUGUUGCCAGCACGUUAUGGUGGGGACUCAGUGGAGACCGCCGGGGUCAACUCGGAGGAAGGUGGGGAUGACGUCAAGUCAUCAUGCCCCUUAUGUCCAGGGCUUCACGCAUGCUACAAUGGCUGGUACAGAGAGUGGCGAGCCUGUGAGGGUGAGCGAAUCUCGGAAAGCCGGUCUCAGUUCGGAUUGGGGUCUGCAACUCGACCUCAUGAAGUCGGAGUCGCUAGUAAUCGCAGAUCAGCAACGCUGCGGUGAAUACGUUCCCGGGGCU
rnacentral:rRNA from 1 species